rnacentral:rRNA from 1 species
AGUGUACGCUGGCGGCAGGCCUAACACAUGCAAGUCGAACGGCAGCACAAGAGAGCUUGCUCUCUGGGUGGCGAGUGGCGGACGGGUGAGGAAUGCAUCGGAAUCUGCCCAUUUGUGGGGGAUAACCUCGGGAAACCGGGACUAAUACCGCAUACGACCUACGGGUGAAAGCAGGGGAUCUUCGGACCUUGCGCAGAUGGAUGAGCCGAUGCCGGAUUAGCUAGUUGGAGGGGUAAAGGCCCACCAAGGCGACGAUCCGUAGCUGGUCUGAGAGGAUGAUCAGCCACACUGGGACUGAGACACGGCCCAGACUCCUACGGGAGGCAGCAGUGGGGAAUAUUGGACAAUGGGCGCAAGCCUGAUCCAGCCAUGCCGCGUGUGUGAAGAAGGCCUUCGGGUUGUAAAGCACUUUUGUUGGGAAAGAAAAGCAGCCGGUUAAUACCCGGUUGUCAUGACGGUACCCAAAGAAUAAGCACCGGCUAACUUCGUG